rnacentral:rRNA from 1 species
GGGGAAUAUUGCACAAUGGGCGCAAGCCUGAUGCAGCCAUGCCGCGUGUAUGAAGAAGGCCUUCGGGUUGUAAAGACUUUCAGCCGGGAGGAAGGUGUUGUGGUUAAUAACCGCAGCAAUUGACGUUACCCGCAGAAGAAGCACCGGCUAACUCCGUGCUCGCAGCCGCGGUAAUACGGAGGGUGCAAGCGUUAAUCGGAAUUACUGGGCGUAAAGCGCACGCAGGCGGUCCAAGUCGGAUGUGAAAUCCCCGGGCUCAACCUGGAACUGCAUUCGAAACUGGCAGGCUUGAGUCUUGUAGAGGGGGGUAGAAUUCCAGGUGUAGCGGUGAAAUGCGUAGAGAUCUGGAGGAAUACCGGUGGCGAAGGCGGCCCCCUGGACAAAG